rnacentral:rRNA from 1 species
GACAGAGGGUGCAAACGUUGCUCGGAAUUACUGGGCGUAAAGCGAGCGUAGUCGGUUAUUUAAGUCGGAUGUGAAAUCCCCGGGCUCAACCUGGGAAUUGCAUUCGAUACUGGAUAGCUAGAGUUCGGCAGAGGGAAGCGGAAUUUCGGGUGUAGCGGUGAAAUGCGUAGAUAUCAGGAGGAACACCGAUGGCGAAGGCAGCUCGCUGGGACGGUACUGACGCUGAGGCGCGAAAGCGUGGGGAGCAAACAGG